UUAUAAAGUCUGCUAGGAGCACUUGGAAUUUCGUCCGACAACAGGCAACGCUGGCACAGGGAAGUGCCAGCGAGGCGCAUUUGAACAUGGAUGUGAAUAUGCGCCGGUUGCCGGAACUGAUGAAAGAUGCUAUCGAAAUUCUUAGUGCUCCGGCAGGCUUUAUGC
rfam:Roseburia sp. CAG:45 genomic scaffold, scf58